GAGGAAACAGGGAAAGAAGAAAGAUGAGUGGAUUAGUUUUAGAGCCUUUUAAAAUGCUUUCAUAACAAGGAGACAUGUUAAAGUCUGAAAGGUAGAAAUGACCCAAAAUGCAGCAUUUAUCCCUGAAAAAAAACUAAAACAGAAGAGUUCUUCACAUGCUUCACGGUAGAAACAUUUGUCCCACAUUGCUCACUUUGAAACCAAAAAUCAAUACAAAGGUUGGUGACCUUUUCUCUGGGAUGACAGACGUGAAUCAAAAUGCGGCACGGUGACACAAAGUGGAACAUCUGGUCACCCAACCCAGGGCUGCAUUUUAUUUAUAACAAAGUUAUUGUUUUCUGUAUGAAACCAUAGCAGAAACACGUCUGCAUUUUAUAUCUGGAAGUUAAAGACAAACUGGUUCUACAAAGUACAUUUUAAUCUUCUCUAUUAGUCAUAGUGAAACUUAACUUAAACAUUAUAUGAUUGGCUGCUAUGUAAUACAGAGAAGGUAUAAAUAAACAGGAAAAGGCAGGAAAGAAACACCAACACUGUGGAGCUACUCAACCACUAAACUGGGAAACUACUGAUACACCUAUUGGUCUGUUUUUUUCACCACAAAUUACCUUGAAACAAACAGUAAAAGAUGGCCGACCAGAUGCCUAGAAGAUUCAGGAUUACUGGAAAAUCACCAAAAAAGGAACGGAAUGAACAAAUGAAAAAUAACCCAGAGACGCUGUUUGUCACUCUCACACAAGGAAGGGAAGACAAAUACAUGUUUUACACUCCGAAUGUAGAAGAAUGGCGCAACACUAUAGAAGAAUCCUUCCCUAAAGCAACUGUUGUUUGCUAUCAAUGGCAAACAACAGCAGGCACCAUUAUGUUAUAUCCUACAACUGGAGUAUGUCUGAUACAAGGCAAUAGAACAAAAAGGAACGUUUUUUUAGAAUGGUUUAGAAGAAGGCUUCAUCUGAAAAAUCGUAAAACUGACCUACCAUGACAACGUCAGUACUAAAUACCAUAUACAGUUUCUAGUCAUUCUUCUUCUUCUAAUGACUUUUGAUGUAAUAUUCUACUGAUAAGUCAACCCUUUAAUAUUUUUGUCUCAAAUUUUCCCUUCCUCCCCCAACCAUAUUCUGGAGGUCAUGUUAGGAUUGCGGAGCGUUUUGUACUCACUCAGAAGAUGGUAGUUUGAGUCUCUCUCAUACUUGAAGGUCAGUCUCCCAUAGCUGACAUGAUUGAGAUUCUUCAGCCACUCGAAAUACGACACAGUCACACCACCAGCAUUCAGGUACAUGUCCUGCAUGGAGGAACAUCAUCAUCAUCAUGUAGUCCUGAUCGUUGUGAACAAAAUGUCUUCUGCAACCAAAAAUAUGCUUCAAAAUUUGAUUUGAUUUCUGUUCAAUAAAACUUUUCCUGUGAAAUCAUUAUCUGUAAAUUAUUUAAAACUACAAACAGGAGCUUUAUAUAAAAGCACUCUGCUUUAAAGGUUAAUAAAUACUAUUGAAAA